AAAAUAACAAUGAUUCCCCUAGUAACGGCGAGUGAACAGGGAAAAGCUCAAAGUUGGAACCUCCUGGCCCUAGGUCUGGCGGAUUGUAAACUAAAGCUCUCGAGUAGUUCGGCUAGCCUGGUAAAUAAGUUCUCUGGAAAGGGACGACAUGGAGGGUGAAAUCCCCGUCUUUGGCCAGAGCAUAGUCCAACGUUUGCUUGGAAGUGAAGAGUCAGGUUGUUUGGUAUUGCAGCCUAAAGCUGGAGGUAAAUCUCUCCUAAAGCUAAAUAUUGACGAAAGACCGAUAGCGAACAAGUACCGUGAGGGAAAGAUGAAAAGCACUUUGAAAAGAGGGUCAAAAAGUACGUGAAAUUGCUGAAAGGGAACCGUAUGAAAUCAGCUUGUCUCUUUGGUAAUCAACCUGGAUCUCGAUCUGGGUGCACUUGCCAGUGAGUCAGCCUGCGACAAUUUGAUUUGGGGGAAAAAAUUAGGGGGAAUGUGGCCUGGGCUUCGGUUCAGGUGUUAUAGCCCUUUGAAAAAUACCCUGGGUUGGAUUGAGGACUGCAGCAAGCCAUUUGGGAAGAACUGUGGGCGCUUGGUUAUGGUUAGGAGAAAAUUUCUGCUUCGGGUGGUGUUUUUCUAAUGGUGGCCAACUCGCCUACUUUUUCUUUUUCUUGCUUAGGUCGUAGGCAUAAUGAUUUUAUAUGA
rnacentral:rRNA from 1 species